rnacentral:rRNA from 1 species
GAUGAACGCUGGCGGCGUGCCUAAUACAUGCAAGUCGAGCGAACGGACGAGAAGCUUGCUUUUCUGAUGUUAGCGGCGGACGGGUGAGUAACACGUGGAUAACCUACCUAUAAGACUGGGAUAACUUCGGGAAACCGGAGCUAAUACCGGAUAAUAUUUUGAACCGCAUGGUUCAAAAGUGAAAGACGGUCUUGCUGUCACUUAUAGAUGGAUCCGCGCUGCAUUAGCUAGUUGGUAAGGUAACGGCUUACCAAGGCUACGAUGCAUAGCCGACCUGAGAGGGUGAUCGGCCACACUGGAACUGAGACACGGUCCAGACUCCUACGGGAGGCAGCAGUAGGGAAUCUUCCGCAAUGGGCGAAAGCCUGACGGAGCAACGCCGCGUGAGUGAUGAAGGUCUUCGGAUCGUAAAACUCUGUUAUUAGGGAAGAACAUAUGUGUAAGUAACUGUGCACAUCUUGACGGUACCUAAUCAGAAAGCCACGGCUAACUACGUGCCAGCAGCCGCGGUAAUACGUAGGUGGCAAGCGUUAUCCGGAAUUAUUGGGCGUAAAGCGCGCGUGGGCGGUUUUUUAAGUCUGAUGUGAAAGCCCACGGCUCAACCGUGGAGGGUCAUUGGAAACUGGAAAACUUGAGUGCAGAAGAGGAAAGUGGAAUUCCAUGUGUAGCGGUGAAAUGCGCAGAGAUAUGGAGGAACACCAGUGGCGAAGACGACUUUCUGGUCUGUAACUGACGCUGAUGUGCGAAAGCGUGGGGAUCAAACAGGAUUAGAUACCCCGGUAGUCCACGCCGUAAACGAUGAGUGCUAAGUGUUAGGGGGUUUCCGCCCCUUAGUGCUGCAGCUAACGCAUUAAGCACUCCGCCUGGGGAGUACGACCGCAAGGUUGAAACUCAAAGGAAUUGACGGGGACCCGCACAAGCGGUGGAGCAUGUGGUUUAAUUCGAAGCAACGCGAAGAACCUUACCAAAUCUUGACAUCCUUUGACAACUCUAGAGAUAGAGCCUUCCCCUUCGGGGGACAAAGUGACAGGUGGUGCAUGGUUGUCGUCAGCUCGUGUCGUGAGAUGUUGGGUUAAGUCCCGCAACGAGCGCAACCCUUAAGCUUAGUUGCCAUCAUUAAGUUGGGCACUCUAAGUUGACUGCCGGUGACAAACCGGAGGAAGGUGGGGAUGACGUCAAAUCAUCAUGCCCCUUAUGAUUUGGGCUACACACGUGCUACAAUGGACAAUACAAAGGGCAGCGAAACCGCGAGGUCAAGCAAAUCCCAUAAAGUUGUUCUCAGUUCGGAUUGUAGUCUGCAACUCGACUACAUGAAGCUGGAAUCGCUAGUAAUCGUAGAUCAGCAUGCUACGGUGAAUACGUUCCCGGGUC